GUCUAGUCUAAUACAAACCAGCCAGGUUGUAGUUGGUCUAGUCUAGUACAAACCAGCCAGGUUGUAGUUGGUCUAGUCUAGUACAAACCAGCCAGGUUGUAGUUGGUCUAGUCUAGUACAAACCAGCCAGGUUGUAGUUGGUCUAGUCUAGUACAAACCAGCCAGGUUGUAGUUGGUCUAAUACAAACCAGCCAGGUUAUAGUUGGUCUAGUCUAGUACAAACCAGCCAGGUUGU